GACGAACGCUGGCGGCGUGCUUAACACAUGCAAGUCGAACGAAGAGCGAUGGAAGCUUGCUUCUAUCAAUCUUAGUGGCGAACGGGUGAGUAACGCGUAAUCAACCUGCCCUUCAGAGGGGGACAACAGUUGGAAACGACUGCUAAUACCGCAUACGAUCUAAUCUCGGCAUCGAGGAUAGAUGAAAGGUGGCCUCUAUAUGUAAGCUAUCACUGAAGGAGGGGAUUGCGUCUGAUUAGCUAGUUGGAGGGGUAACGGCCCACCAAGGCGAUGAUCAGUAGCCGGUCUGAGAGGAUGAACGGCCACAUUGGGACUGAGACACGGCCCAGACUCCUACGGGAGGCAGCAGUGGGGAAUCUUCCGCAAUGGACGAAAGUCUGACGGAGCAACGCCGCGUGAGUGAUGACGGCCUUCGGGUUGUAAAGCUCUGUUAAUCGGGACGAAAGGCCUUCUUGCGAAUAGUGAGAAGGAUUGACGGUACCGGAAUAGAAAGCCACGGCUAACUACGUGCCAGCAGCCGCGGUAAUACGUAGGUGGCAAGCGUUGUCCGGAAUUAUUGGGCGUAAAGCGCGCGCAGGCGGAUAGGUCAGUCUGUCUUANAAGUUCGGGGCUUAACCCCGUGAUGGGAUGGAAACUGCAUCUAGAGUAUCGGA
rnacentral:rRNA from 1 species